rnacentral:rRNA from 1 species
CGCCUGUUUACCAAAAACAUCGCCUCUUGACUAUAAUAAGAGGUCCAGCCUGCCCAGUGAAUUUUAAACGGCCGCGGUAUCCUAACCGCGCGAAGGUAGCAUAAUCACUUGUUCUUUAAAUGGGGACUCGUAUCAACGGCAUCACGAGGGUUUUACUGUCUCCUCUUUUUGAUCAGUGAAAUUGAUCUUCCCGUGAAGAAGCGGGAAUAUUUAUAUAAGACGAGAAGACCCCAUGGAGCUUCAAACCAAAUAACAACUUAACCACUCAACCCAUAAUAAAUUUAAGCCAUGUUAUAAGGUUUUGGGUUGGGGUGACCGCGGAGUAAAGCACAUCCUCCACGACGGAAAGAACACAAUCUUUAUUUAAGAACUACAAUUCUAGAAAUUAGUAUACUAACGUUUACUGACCCGAUAAUCGAUCAACGGACCAAGUUACCCUGGGGAUAACAGCGCAAUCUACUUCAAGAGCUCAUAUCGACAAGUAGGCUUACGACCUCGAUGUUGGAUCAGGGUAUCCCGGUGGUGCAGCCGCUACCGAAGGUUCGUGUCA